UAACACAUGCAAGUCGAACGGAAACGAAACUAGCUUGCUAGUAGGCGUCGAGUGGCGGACGGGUGAGUAACGCGUAGGAAUCUGCCUGAUAGUGGGGGAUAGCCCGAAGAAAUUCGGAUUAAUACCGCAUAAUCUAUUCGUAGUAAAGUGGGGGACUUUCGAGCCUCACGCUAUCAGAUGAGCCUGCGUAAGAUUAGCUUGUUGGUAGGGUAAAAGCCUACCAAGGCAACGAUCUUUAGCUGGUCUGAGAGGAUGAUCAGCCACAUCGGGACUGAGACACGGCCCGAACUCCUACGGGAGGCAGCAGUGGGGAAUAUUGGACAAUGGGGGCAACCCUGAUCCAGCAAUACCGCGUGUGUGAAGAAGGCCUGAGGGUUGUAAAGCACUUUCAAUUGUGAAGAAAAGUUAACGGUUAAUAACCGUUGACCUUGACGUUAACUUUAGAAGAAGCACCGGCUAACUCCGUGCCAGCAGCCGCGGUAAUACGGAGGGUGCAAGCGUUAAUCGGAAUUACUGGGCGUAAAGCGUGCGUAGGCGGUUUAUUAAGUCAGAUGUGAAAGCCCGGGCUUAACCUGGGAACUGCAUUUGAAACUGGUCAACUAGAGUAUGGUAGAGGAAAGUGGAAUUUCUGGUGUAGCGGUGAAAUGCGUAGAUAUCAGAAGGAACAUCAAUGGCGAAGGCAGCUUUCUGGACCAAUACUGACGCUGAGGUGCGAAAGCGUGGGUAGCAAACAGGAUUAGAUACCCUGGUAGUCCACGCCGUAAACGAUGAUAACUAGCCGUUGGGGGGAUUUACCCCUUAGUGGCGAAGCUAACGCGUUAAGUUAUCCGCCUGGGGAGUACGGCCGCAAGGCUAAAACUCAAAGGAAUUGACGGGGACCCGCACAAGCGGUGGAGCAUGUGGUUUAAUUCGAUGCAACGCGAAGAACCUUACCUGGUCUUGACAUCCUGCGAACUUUCUAGAAAUAGAUUGGUGCCUUCGGGAACGCAGUGACAGGUGCUGCAUGGCUGUCGUCAGCUCGUGUCGUGAGAUGUUGGGUUAAGUCCCGUAACGAGCGCAACCCCUAUCCUUAUUUGCCAGCACAUUAUGGUGGGAACUAUAAGGAGACUGCCGGUGAUAAACCGGAGGAAGGCGGGGACGACGUCAAGUCAUCAUGGCCCUUACGACCAGGGCUACACACGUGCUACAAUGGGAAGGACAAAGAGCCGCGAAGCCGCGAGGUGUAGCUAAUCUCAUAAAUCUUUUCGUAGUCCGGAUUGGAGUCUGCAACUCGACUCCAUGAAGUCGGAAUCGCUAGUAAUCGUAGAUCAGAAUGCUACGGUGAAUACGUUCCCGGGUCUUGUACACACCGCCCGUCAUACCAUGGGAGUGGGUUGCACCAGAAGUGGCUAGUCUAACUUUGUGAGGACGGUCACCACGGUGUGAUUCAUGACUGGGGUA
rnacentral:rRNA from 1 species